UACGGAGGGAGCAAGCGUUGUUCGGAAUCAUUGGGCGUAAAGCGCGUGUAGGCGGUCUGGUCAGUCGGGUGUGAAAUACCGGAACUCAACUCCGGAACUGCAUUCGAUACUGCCAAGCUAGAGUCCCGGAGAGUGUGGUGUAAUUCCCGGUGUAGAGGUGAAAUUCGUAGAUAUCGGGAGGAACACCAGCGGCGAAAGGGGCCAUCUGGACGGUGAUUGACGCUGAGACGCGAAAGCCUGGCGAGCAAACAGG
rnacentral:rRNA from 1 species